rnacentral:lncRNA from 1 species
GUGCUCGCACCUAGAGGGCGGGGGCACGCGGGCGCGCAGCGGGGAGGGAGCGAGCGCUGCGCUGGCGUCCGGCCCGACUUUCCCUAUCGCGCACCUCAGCCCGGUGCGGCCGGCGGCUGAGUACCCCACACCCCGUCCCGCCCCGUCCCCGCCAUGCGCAGGGCAGCCCGUUCUCGCUGCUAGCACUGCUAGCGCUUACUGGCGCGGCCCCGCCGCUACCUACGGUGCUGCCCGAGCUGUGGGGUUGGCGGCACCGCGUACCGCCCAGCCUGCUGCCCUUAGUGGGCCGCUCCCUUUUUGUUGGUGCUUAGGACGCGCCUAUCACCCACGCAGCUCUAUCAGCCCUGCGCCGCGUCCCUUCUGCCUUCGGCCCUUUAUGUAGAGGGAGAGUGACGCGGCCUCCUUGUGCCUCCCCCCGCCUUUGCUGUACCAUAAAUCUUCGAGUAGAGGCCCCCCGCUGUCCCGCGGCCUGAGGCCCAGCCCCAGCCGGGCAGGGCUCAGGAGUGAGAGGAAACGUGGCAAACGCUCGGGAGCGCCCAGAGGGAGAAGGAGGUGGCUGAGGCUGCCUCCACGAGGUCAUGCUGAGAAUUCAUGGAACGAACAGAUCCAAUACAUCUACAGUUUUAAAAGGAGGAGUAAAUCUCGCUGGAACAGAGUUUUUUGGUUCUAGAGUAAGUUUCACUGACUUUUCCCCACCUUGCUUGGUGACACGAGUGUCCUCUUGCACCCUGCCAGAUGCCAAGUGCUUUGUUCCAUUGGAACUAACGGAGCGUGCUCUUAUGACAGCUGCAUCCAAGAGAUCUUGAGUGAAGAGGAGUUGUGCUGGGCUGCAUAUGAAAUAUAUAGUAUAGUCAAUGUAUGCUGGAUUCCACCUUGUGCAUGCACUUGACAAGAUACUGACAUUUAAUCGUGUUCCCCUUCCCACUCAUUCAUCUCGUGCUGAUGGC